rnacentral:rRNA from 1 species
GACAGAGGUGCCGAGCGUUAGGCGGAAUCACUGGGCUUAAAGCGUGUGUAGGCGGGCCGUUAAGUGUCUCGUGAAAUCCCCCGGCUCAACCGGGGAAUUGCUGGGCAUACUGGCGGUCUUGAGCAAUCUAGGGGCAGAUGGAACAAGUGGUGGAGCGGUGAAAUGCGUAGAUAUCACUUGGAACGCCAAAGGUGAAGACAGUCUGCUGGGGAUUUGCUGACGCUGAGACACGAAAGCCAGGGGAGCGAACGGG